rnacentral:rRNA from 1 species
UGGGGAAUAUUGCACAAUGGGCGGAAGCCUGAUGCAGCGACGCCGCGUGGGGGAUGAAGGCCUUCGGGUUGUAAACUCCUUUCGACAGGGACGAAGCGUAAGUGACGGUACCUGUAUAAGAAGCACCGGCUAACUACGUGCCAGCAGCCGCGGUAAUACGUAGGGUGCGAGCGUUGUCCGGAAUUACUGGGCGUAAAGAGCUCGUAGGUGGUUUGUCGCGUCGUCUGUGAAAUUCCGGGGCUUAACUCCGGGCGUGCAGGCGAUACGGGCUGACUUGAGUGCUGUAGGGGAGACUGGAAUUCCUGGUGUAGCGGUGAAAUGCGCAGAUAUCAGGAGGAAUACCGAUGGCGAAGGCAGGUCUCUGGGCAGUAACUGACGCUGAGGAGCGAAAGCAUGGGUAGCGAACAGGAUUAGAUACCCUGGUAGUCUAUGCCGUAAACGGUGGGCGCUAGGUGUAGGGGGCUUCCACGUCUCCUGUGCCGUAGCUAACGCAUUAAGCGCCCCGCCUGGGGAGUACGGCCGCAAGGCUA